rnacentral:sRNA from 1 species
GUGUUUCGAGGAAUAUCUCACACACAUAUCGUCACAGUUUCCGGGUGCCGUUUUACGGUUGGAUGCUGGGAUAUGUGGAGGUUGAAC